GCCUUCGUGGUGUAGUGGUCAGCACUCUCGGCGUAUGUUCGAGAGGUCCAUGGUUCGAAUCCCUGCGGAGGCA